CAAUAACCUGCUAACUCCCAAAGUGAAAAUACGGACUUGCUCCUUGUUCAUUUCCAGGUCCACUGGACUGGAGCCAUAAAUGAAGAGUUUUGGCUCAUUAGGAAGGACAGAUUAUCGGGCAUGGUGUGGAGCCACCCAUGCUUUAUGAGGCUGGGAAUGAGUUACACAAAGUCCCGCAGAGUGAGAAAGGAAGAUGUUUGGAAAUAUUUUUCUGCUUAAAGCUCUGAGAUUGCAAGGGUUUUCUUAGCCCUGUGGAAUUUCUCUAAGUGCCUGGGGAUUUCUAGGUUUCUAAGAAGCUUGAGGUGGUUGUUAACCUAAUACACAGUUGAAGGGAGCCAAGACAGCCUUCCUAUGCCAGCUGUGUGGUAGGACGUCUUCUUAAAAGGCUCUUUAAAAUCAGUGAGAGAGAUUCCAUGGUUCACCACCCAGAACAAGGUGCUUUCUUCCAUCUCAUAUGCCAAAAAAGCACUGAAAAUCCAGAGCACCAUUACUGAUUGGAAGACCAAAGGCUUGAUCUAGAAAUCACACACCAGGAGUUGUCUCACAUGGUUAUGGAGGCUGAGAAGUCCCACGAUCUGUAUCUGUAAGCUGGAGAACCAAGAAAGGCAGUGGUGUAAUUCAGUAUAAGUCCACAGGCCUGAAUUGGGUGGUGAGGUGGGCAAUGUUGUAAAUUCCAGUCUGAGUCUGAAAGCCCAAGAACCAGAAGUGCUGACAUCCAAGGGCAGGAGAAGAUGGGUGCCUCAGCUCCAGCAGAGACAGCAAGUUUGCCCUUCCUCCGCCUUUUUGUUCUUUUCAGGCCUUCAGUGGAUUGGGUGACACCUUCCCGAUUGACAGAAGGGGCCACCUGGAAAGGAAUGCGGGCAGCCUCUAGAAGCUGCAAAAGGCAAGACAACAGAUUCUUCUUUAGAGCCUCAAGAAAGGAACACAGCCCUGCUGAUAAUUUGAUGGUAACCCAGUGAGACCCAUUUCAGAUUUCCGACCUCCAGAACUGUGUUGUUUUAAACCACUAAGUUUGUGGUAACUUUUUACAGCAGCCAUAGGAAACUCUUACAGUACUUAAUAAAUGUCAGCUGGUGAUUUAUUUUUUCCCCUUAUUAAGAGAUACCCCUUUAUGAUGAGCAAGUUCUGAGAGAUGUACAUCACAUUUACGUACCUAGUGUCUCAGUCUGCACUCAUUUUCACUUCAACGUCUACCUAGUAUGCUCAAAGUAAAUGCCAUCAAUAGCAAUUGAGAGCACAAAUUCUUACUUAUUGUAUUAUCGUCUGACUGCAAGCAACAGAAACGGACUCUAACUUAAGUAGGAAGGGAAUUUGUUGGCAAGAUAAUAGGUAGUUCCCAGAACUGACUGGAAGGCUGGAGGAUCAGACUUAGAAAACUAUCAGGAGUCGAGAAAGAUCAUGAAUCAGACAACAGAGCCAAAGUGUAGACUGGUAGGGUUCAGAGGCUGCCACUCGACUCUCAGUGACGGUAAUACUAGACUGCCAAUGCCGCGACCGAUUCUGUGAAUAAUUUUUCGAACUCUCUAUCUUUGUGUUACUCACCCAAGAUUCAAGUUCUGGGCAGAAAUGUCCAGUUAGGAUCACACAGCUUUGACAAAGGUGGAUCAGCCCCUUUUACUUUCAUAGUGGUUGAAAGUGUGCUGCCAGCCACCAAGACGUAUACAUUUGGAUUCUCCCAAAUGAGAAGAUGUUGGGGCUCAGAUAACUCCCCAAAUGAAAAAUGUCCACUACACUUACCCUCUCUGAGUGUCUCAGUCUGUUCAGGCUGCUAUAACAGAAUACCAUAGACUGGG